rnacentral:miRNA from 14 species
CCAAAAAUUUAAUAAUAUAAGAUGUAUGUGUGUGUGUGUGUGUGUGUGUGUGUACAUACACAUGUGCAUUCAUACGCACAUACAUGCAUGCAUGCAUAAAUAC